AGACUCUAAUGGUAGAUGGAUGUAUUCAAAGAAUUUGAAGAUGUCAAUGUGUGCUCGGAAGCGUCUCAGCCACUAUAUUAAGUCAGUUAAGCCUGCUAUUGGCCACUACGUGUGUGAGAUGAACAAAACCUUUACCAAGGCUGGGCAGAGAAUGUACUUCUCUACUUCCUUCACUAAAGAGUAUCUGGUGGAUUUCAUUACCACUCCAGUUGAUGGGGUGAAGAUCAAGCUAUCAGUUGGUCGGUGUGCAAGACGUGUUCGCCUUAUUAAUGGCGUGGACAACAGGGCCGCCAUAACACAUAACUGGAGUGACUUUGCAAAGGAAGCAAAGCUGACAAAAGGGGAAAUGUGUGUUUUCUCUGUUUGAGCUUGCAAAGGGAAACCAGAAUUCACCGUUCACAAGAUUUAGAAGGUGUCUACAACGCAGCGUUUAAGGACGUGUAUCUAAGGUGUUCCAUAAGGCUAUGUAUAUAUACCUAUGUCUAGUUAUGGUUCCAUGUCUAGUUAUGUUUAGGUUCUAGUCAAGUGUGCUGAGUUGGGGGGGGGCAGUAUGCAUUCCUUUUGGUAGUGAUCUAUCUGUCAUGAUGUUCAUGUAAUGGAACGGUGAUUGAAAUUGUGAACCAUGUGUGACCUGUGCGCUGUUUGCUAAGCCUCCAAUGCUGUUUGUUUUAAGGCAUGAAGUAACUUUCACCAGGAGAAGAAAUUUUAGUGAUAUAAAUCUUGUAGGUGUUGCUAGCUGGGGUCUUGCUUUGCUGCUGUUUCUGUGACCGGAUUUGU